AUGCUCAUUUUGGUAGCACAUCCACUAAAACUACAAUGAUAUGGAGAAAAUUCACAUGGUCCCUGUACAAGGAUGAUCCACAAACUUGUGAAGCAUUCCAUAUUUUU
ensembl:snRNA U6 U6 spliceosomal RNA